GAAGAAGGAUACACAACCAUCAGAAAUGUGGCCCUCAUUCCCCCCACAGAAGCUUACAAUCUAGAAGAGGAAAAAGGCUUUGCCUUAAAUCGAUGUCCAGUAACACCUUGGCCACACAGGCUGACAGCCAGUAUGAGAAUCAGAAUGACUUGAAUUUAGAAACUUUGAGGAGUGUGGUGAAGCAGGAAGUAGGAGAAAUGGAGUGUGAUGGGGACAUGGAGCCAGCUGAAGAGAGAGCCGAGGAGCGGAAAGGAGGCCUGUGCACGAUGGGAAAGUGACCAUCACUGCCUGUCAUGAAGACCAAAGGAUCAAAACUUGGACUCACUGGCUGAUCCUGAAUGAAUUUCCAACCGUGCCUGUGUCUCUACUGCCUCAACCAUUAAAACAUAAAUAAAUAUACCCACCCACUCCG